CCUUAGGUGUGAGGAUGAGAAGUGGAAUGGAUAAGAUCAAAAGGAUAUUUCAUCCUUAUCCAUUCAUGGUUCCAUGAUCUUCACACCAUUUGCCCACACGCCAUCAUCUUGAUCAUGCCUCAAGCCUUCCAUCACGUGCCAUCAUAAGAUCAAGUAAUUAAAUCCUCAUCCAAUGGUGGACAUCAUGAUCUAAUGGCUAGAAUUGCAUGCGCUAUCAUCCUUGAUCCAUAUCAUCAUCCAAUGAUGAUUCAAGGGCUCCAAUCCAAAACAUCGUAUCAUGAUCCCAUUAUGUCUUCGUCUAAUGGCUGAUGAAGAUCAAUUGGUCAUGAUUAAAGACCCCAUCUAAACCAAUCCAAUUGGGUUCAAUCCAACUCACCAUUAUGUCUUCAUCCAACGGUAGAUGAAGAUCUAACGGUCUAAAAUGAAUGAUUUAUCAAAUCUAAUCCAAUUAGACUCAAACCAAGCCAAUUAGCUGCCAACUCUUGGCUAACCCAUAUUAGGAUAUGAUCUAAUCAAAUUUGAUCAAUUAAGAAUCAGAUUUGAAUCUAAUUCGAAUCAGAUUCGAAUUCAAUUCGAAUCAGGAGCUAAGGUUUGCAACACGUGCUAGCAUGUUCAACUUGCAAACAUGAUCUAAUCUAAUUAGACCCUUGAUCAGUUUUCUUGUAUGUGACCCAUUGGGUUCCAUACUUAGCCAGCAGUAGGUGUGAGUUCGAGUUGACCUAACCUGAUUAGAACUCUUCUAAUCGAUUUAGGUCCAAACUGCGCGAACCCGAUCUUAACAAUUAGAACUCUUUCUAAUUGGUGAUCGAAUUAAACUCUUUAAUUCGAUCAAUCCUACAAGACAAGAUUGAUGUCUAGCAAUGUGUCAUGUCUACCUGAAAAAUAUGGAAUUUGGUGGAAAUACCAAAAAUAUCUUUCAGUGGCAAGUUACCGUGCAAUUCAAUCCUUCAAUCAAACUACAUCCCGAAUAUGUAUAUGAGCAUGAAUCUAUGUCAAACUCAUUUAUAUAUUCAUGUUUCUUUUAAUCUUCUAAUGAUAAUUCGAAUCAUGAAAUAUUAGAAAUUUUUUCUAAUUUUCAUUCUGCUUUGAUCAAAGACUCCGUGAAUUAUCAUAUAAUUAGAAUAAAUGGGAUGCGAUCUUCUCUUACUAGAAGUGAUUGAUUCCUUGUUGACCUACUCAUAAUCUUCGCACACAAUCCACCAUAUUCAGAAGACCUCGUACACAACUUAUUGUCAUGAAUGAGUGUAAACCAAAACAUGAAUUUUUGUGCACAAGAUACCAUGGUGAUCUCAGGUUGAAGGAUCAGUUGCACAACUCCCACUAAGAGAAUCAUUUUUUGACAUGUAAGUAAGACUUCAUAAGAUAUUCUCUUGGCAGGUCAAUUCAGUGAACUCAUUCUUCUAAUGGGCACCCACAUCUUUGUAUUAGUGUCUCCACACAAGUGAUUAUGAGAUCAAUCAUCCUCUGCAUCAAGCAUACAUAAGAUGUGCCAGUCUUUCCGGUAGCAUUGAUCCCCGACUCAAUGUACCAAUGAUUAGGAAUAUUUAAAUGUCAGAUACAUGAUUUGGAAAAUCAAAGAAAAAUCCUUCGCAAUGCAAAUUGCGAUUGGCUUGUAGGGCAUCUAUUCUUUCAUAAUAUCCAUGCAUGAGUAUGUUGCGUACAAAAUGGCCUUGGCCUAACUCAACAAAUUUAAAGGAGCUGAUUAAUCAAUGAUGUUACCUAAACACCGGGCAUGAGUUGCAAGUGUCUACAUCUCCUGAAGUGUCUGACACUUUAAAAAAGUCAGACAGGGGUAUAGUUUCAUAUCAUACAAUGGAC
rnacentral:lncRNA from 1 species